UACGGGGGGAGCAAGCGUUGUUCGGAUUUACUGGGCGUAAAGGGCGCGUAGGCGGCCACUGCAAGUCAGUUGUGAAAUCUCCGGGCUUAACCCGGAAAGGUCAACUGAUACUGCAGGGCUAGAGUGCAGAAGGGGCAACUGGAAUUCUCGGUGUAGCGGUGAAAUGCGUAGAUAUCGAGAGGAACACCUGCGGCGAAGGCGGGUUGCUGGGCUGACACUGACGCUGAUGUGCGAAAGCUAGGGGAGCAAACGGG
rnacentral:rRNA from 1 species